rnacentral:rRNA from 1 species
GAUGAACGCUGGCGGCGUGCCUAAUACAUGCAAGUCGAGCGAACAGAUCAGGAUUUUGCUCCUCUGACGUUAGCGGCGGACGGGUGAGUAACACGUGGUUAACCUACCUAUAAGACUGGGAUAACUUCGGGAAACCGUAUCUAAUACCGGAUGAUAUAUUGAAUCUCAUGGUUCAAUAGUUAAAUACGGUUUUGCUGUCACUUAUAGAUGGAUCCGCGCCGAAUGAGUAAGUUGGUAAGGUAACGGCUUACCAAGGCGAGGAUGCGUAGCCGACCUGAGAGGGUGGACCGCCACACUGGAGGUGAGACACGGCACAGACUCCUACGGGAGGCCGCAGCACGGACUCUUCCGCGAUGGGGGAAAGCCUGACGGAGCAACGCAGGGUGAGUGAUGAAGCUCUUCGGAUCGUAAAACUCUGUUAUUAGGGAAGAACCAAUGUGUAAGUAACUAUGCUCGUCUUGACGGUACCUAAUCAAAAAGCAACGGCUAACUACGUG